GCACAGGGAUGGUCUUGUGUGGGUGGGUUUCUGUUGGAUGUGCGAAUGGAGCUGAAAAAUGCAGGACUAAGAUCGAUAAUAUUGGUGCAUACGCAGUGUAGAUGUGGUUGAAGACACAAAACUAACAGAUAACUGAUAGGAAAUGGGCUUUGUGCUGUUAUGCUGGAUCUUUCGUCUCAAGAGCGGUGAAAAAGCUGUGUGAUCAAGUGUACGUGGAUGGGUUUACAGUUUCAUCUAACUGGGUGUCUGGAAACAUUUUGUAAAUAUUGCUCCGUUAAGUCCUUUUCUUUACCCAAGAUCUUACGACUAGCCUGAGGCGUCUGAGACCAGAGGAUGAAAGAUGCAUCUUUGAUGGUUUAAGCGGGGAGGAAUCCAACCGCCCCAUGAGCGUCAUGGCCCCCAUCGGGAGCGGAUUGAAUU
rnacentral:sRNA from 1 species